GCUCGUACUGACAAGUAGCGACAAACGUAACAAAUAUUGCGGCAAAUGAAAUACUUUGGUGUACGGCAGAGGUGCAGAGUUUGCUGGAAAUUUUGACGGACUACAGUAUCCAGGAACAACUAGAUGCAAAAUACAAGAAGUCCGAGAUAUCUGUUAAAAUACGGGGCUACCUUCUUAUAUGUGCAGCACGAUUCAAUUGUAUUCGCUUAGUUGCUUACUGGAUAAAUCUAUGAGGGCUGUGUGUCAAUGCACGCAAGACAACCCCAGAUAAAUCGCAAAAUAAGGACAAUCAUGAGCUCCGAUAUUCUGUGCAGUAGUGCUGUUCUUCAACACAAAAGACAACGCAGGAAACAGAAAAGCACAACACAGAAAGUAGCACGGUGAUAACGAAAGCGUGUUCAGGCCUGAAACUUUAAGUGCAAUGUGUGCGCUGAUCUGAGAGGCAGUCAUACUAAGUCACAAAAAUAGCUGUGAGUUACAUGAAUGACACAGGAAACCAAGCAAACUGACUUAAAUUUUUUAAAUAUUGCCCCUGCACUUACAUGUUCGCCCCAUGUCGGUGUGGGGUUUUCUCUGGGUUCUCCUGUUUCACCCCACAGUCCAAAAACAUGCUGAGGCUAGUUGGAGUUACCAUAUUGUCUGUAGGUGUGCAUGUGUGUGAAUGGUGUGUUUGCCCUGCAAUGGGUUGGUGCCCCAUCCUGGGUUAUUCCCUGCCUUAUGGCCAUAGCUUCCCAGAUAGGCUGUGGACCCUCAUGACCCUGCACAGGACAAGUGGGUAUAGAAGAUGGAUGCAUGGAUGGAUAAUAUUAAUGGAUAUGAACUGGAUACUGUCGUUCAUGAAGUCUUCUUUACUCCGGCUGAAAUUUUAAUUUUAUUACUGAAGGAGUCUAUGCAUUGAUAGUUUAUGUUCUUGAGUAACAGUAAUGUUAUGACUUGAUGAAGCGCUAGACAUUCAGCCUUAUGAUUUUAUCACUUCCUGUGUAAAGUGUCCACUCCCCCUUCACUCUGCCUGCUGUGUGUGAGAAUAGAAACGACAGAGACAGUGAAGGUACAGAGGAUGAGGAAGUGAGUGUCAGUCUCCACAGAUCUGGGCUCAGUGACACACGCACAUAUGGAUCCUCUGAUGGUCCUGUUUCUUCUCAUUGCUGGGCUCACAGGUGCUGACAGUGUGUCCACAGUUGGAUGGGUGACUGUACAGAGAGGAGGAUCUGUCACCAUCCCAUGUUUCUAUGAUGACAGAUAUAAGGCACAUGUGAAAUCCUGGUGUAAAGGGAGUUAUUGGAAUUCAUGUACUCCCAUAGUACACACUGACUCUCGACAGGAGGGUAACGUGUCAAUCAGAGAUGAUCCUGACCAGCGAGUCUUCACUGUGACCAUGAACAAUCUGACAGCUGGGGACUCUGGUUGGUACUCAUGCUUUGUAAAUAUUAGUGGAGCUUCAGAUGUUGGAGAUCGGGUUUACCUGUCAGUCACU